AACGACGCCGCACGCGACGCUGCGAACUGCGAAAACUCUGUGAAACCAAUGCGAAACAGCAAUAGAGCGAGAUGCAAUUAACGCACUGUCGUGUGGCGGAUGAGACAGUAAAUCGGUUCGCCGCUGUUUCGCAGUUCGUAGCAUCGG